UAGGCAUCAAAAUGAAUGUCAUGUCAUAUUUGGUAGCGUUCUUCUUGAUUCUUGGGUUGCUCUUACAAUCUCACGCUAGUUUCACAGGCAAGGUCUCCGCGUGGGAAGCCCCUUCCAAUGAGUUUUCUUCUUAUAAGUUGAAUGUGGUGACAAGAAAGGUUAGAAGAUCCCCGCCUCCAUCUCCCAGGCUUAAUCCUCCUAUUCACUUCAAAAGUCCUCCUCCUCCUCGGCCACCACCACCGCCAGUGUCACCGCCACCACCGCCAGUGUCCCUGCCACCGCCGC
rnacentral:misc_RNA from 1 species